UGCAAUCAAUGAUGCAAAAUCAUGAUUUAAACUGAUGUUUUUCUGUGAUUAACACAAAUUAUCACCAUCUUUCGGCUGAGAUUGCU